GACGAACCGUGCGAACGUUGUUCGGAAUCACUGGGCUUAAAGGGCGCGUAGGCGGAUCAUCAAGUCCGGGGUGAAAUCUUUCGGCUUAACCGGAAAAUAGCCUUGGAUACUGGUGGUCUCGAGUGAGGUAGGGGCCGUUGGAACUUCCGGUGGAGCGGUGAAAUGCGUUGAUAUCGGAAGGAACGCCGGUGGCGAAAGCGAACGGCUGGACCUCUUCUGACGCUGAGGCGCGAAAGCCAGGGGAGCAAACGGG
rnacentral:rRNA from 1 species